UACGGGGGGGGCAAGCGUUGUUCGGAAUUACUGGGCGUAAAGGGUUCGUAGGUGGCUUGCUAAGUCAGACGUGAAAUCCCUCAGCUUAACUGGGGAACUGCGUCUGAUACUGGCGAGCUUGAGUGCAGGAGAGGAACGCGGAAUUCCAGGUGUAGCGGUGAAAUGCGUAGAUAUCGGGAGGAACACCAGUGGCGAAGGCGGCUUCCUGGACCGGUUCUGACACUGAGGAGCGAAAGCGUGGGGAGCGAUCCGG
rnacentral:rRNA from 1 species